rnacentral:rRNA from 1 species
UACAGAGGUCUCAAGCGUUGUUCGGAUUCAUUGGGCGUAAAGGGUGCGUAGGCGGCGCGGUAAGUCGGGUGUGAAAUCUCGGAGCUUAACUCCGAAACUGCAUUCGAUACUGCCGUGCUUGAGGACUGGAGAGGAGACUGGAAUUUACGGUGUAGCGGUGAAAUGCGUAGAUAUCGUAAGGAAGACCAGUGGCGAAAGCGGCCACCUGGACUGCACCUGACGCUAAAACGCGAAAGCUAGGGGAGCGAACGGG